CAGGUUUCUCCCAUUAUUCAUUAUGGAAAAUGCGGGAGGAAUCAAAUAACGCUUUCCUUAAAGUACCUUUCCCAGUUAGACUUCUUUUAAAAAAAGUAUCAUACUUAAAAAGCCGAGCAAAUUUGCCGGUAGAAAAUUUAUCCACAAAAAACAUAAUAAACAUCAUUGUAUAACGAAUACAUUCAAUCAGAAUCUAAAAUAUCAUGGGAUAAAACUUAUAAAUUAGUUUUGACUACAAGCAGCAGCAGCAGAAAAGUC